UUGGGCAACGCGGCAAUCGUCAGACGCGUAUCUCGCGUACUUCGCGUAAAAAGUUCAAUUUUUUGAACUCUUGAAAUGUACGCGAUAUACGCGCGUAUAGCGCGUAUUGCGCGUAAAUAUACGCGCCACAUACGCGCUAUACGCGCGUACAAUGUUGCUUAUACGCUUAAUACGCGUGAAACGCGUAAUACGCGUAUUAAACCAAUGGUUCCCUAUGGAAAAAAUGGCGAUUUGAGACGCGAAGUACGCGAGAUACGCGUCUGGUGUGGCCGCACCUUUACGGUUGUAGUUAAGGUUGUUUAUCUACAAAGUGGUAAGGUUAGAUCAACAGUAUUGGACAUUAUGUUGUGUGUUUGUGGUGAAGGAGGACUUUGCGGAUAUCAGGGCCUACUUUUCCACAACAAAAUGGAACCGCCUCUGUAUGGCAGAGAAAAAAAGAUUCCUGCAGAUCAAGGAAAACCAUUUGGUUAUGUCGUCUCUUGGCCUGUCCUUUGUGGCUCCAGCCUUCAUGAGGAGAGAGAAGCCCGGCCAGGUGAGAGUCUGCUCACCUGAAGAGACGGACUAUGAGGAGGAGCAGCUCUGGACCUCUGGAUUGACCGGUGCUCGAGUGUGGAAGCCACCAACAGUCAGACAGGGGUCUCUACAACAGCCCAGUACGUCAGAUGCAGUUUCUGUACAGGUAUAAACAGCACACAUCACCUUCAGCAGCCUUACCAUGUCCUGUCCUCUAUGGUACGAGACCUGCUUCAUGUCCGUGUGACAGCAGACUGAUGGAUUAAGGGUAUUAAUUACACCAGCACGAUGUAUAA